GAACGAACGCUGGCGGCAGGCCUAACACAUGCAAGUCGAACGCCGUAGUCGAAUACGGAGUGGCAGACGGGUGAGUAACACGUGGGAACGUACCCUUCGGUUCGGAAUAACUCAGGGAAACUUGAGCUAAAUACCGGAUACGUCCGUAAGGAGAAAGAUUUAUCGCCGAGGGAUCGGCCCGCGUCUGAUUAGCUUGUUGGUGAGGUAACGGCUC
rnacentral:rRNA from 1 species